rnacentral:tRNA from 2 species
GGAGAGGUGGCUGAGUGGCCGAAAGCGGGUGAUUUGAAAUCAUCAGUGGGUUCACGCCCACCGGGGGUUCGAAUCCCUCCCUCUCCG